UACGCAGGGUGCAGGCGUUAAUCGGAAUUACUGGGCGUAAAGCGUGCGCAGGCGGUUUGCUAAGACAGGUGUGAAAUCCCCGGGCUUAACCUGGGAACUGCGCUUGUAACUGGCAAGCUAGAGUGUGGCAGAGGGGGGUGGAAUUCCACGUGUAGCAGUGAAAUGCGUAGAGAUGUGGAGGAACACCGAUGGCGAAGGCAGCCCCCUGGGCUAACACUGACGCUCAUGCACGAAAGCGUGGGGAGCAAACAGG
rnacentral:rRNA from 1 species